UACAGAGGUCCCAAGCGUUGUUCGGAUUCACUGGGCGUAAAGGGUGCGUAGGUGGUGAGGUAAGUCGGAUGUGAAAUCUCCAAGCUCAACUUGGAAACUGCAUUGGAAACUACCUUGCUUGAGGGUUUGAGGGGGGAUUGGAAUACUUGGUGUAGCAGUGAAAUGCGUAGAUAUCAAGUGGAACACCAGUGGCGAAGGCGAAUCCCUGGAAAAUACCUGACACUGAGGCACGAAAGCUAGGGGAGCAAACAGG
rnacentral:rRNA from 1 species